AUAAUAUAAUGCUACAUUGCCGUAUGGCGCUCGAAUGAAGGUGAAGGAACGACUUAAGUUUAUGUUUAAAGUGUAUUAAAACCCAAAUUUUUGGAUGUGACCUACAUGUUUUCUCAAGGUGUUGUAUACAAUGUUCAGAACAAGAUUCGAUUGAUGAUAGACGGAGAUCAAGCCACCCAAGAGCUGGCACGGGCACGAGUAGCCCGUAAAACAAGGUUCUAGGAGCCUGAAUCCUAAGAUCCUAGAUCCUAGAAUCUGGCAAAGCGGCCUCACUUGGCCUCCAUUAUUAGAGGUCAUUGUGAUUAUGCUGUCAAGGGAUUUCGAAGUUUCGGAAGAAUGCUCAAAUGUCCUGGCUUCUGAGAUCUGUGGGCUGGGGUCUCCGGAAUCACUAUCCCAACACUUGAGACAUCACAAGAUCGUCUGGGCUUAUAUGAUUGACUUGUAUCGUCCCUCAGAACAACCAUUAUCCAAUGGGAGAAAAUGUAGAUGUUUAUCUCUCAGAAUGUUUGGUAAUAUGUUUAUUGUUUGUGAUGUGUGUCUAUGUAUGUAUUAACACGAUGUACUGAACGGGGUGAGAAUAGCUUGAGUUACCUCAUCCCUCUGUGUAUAUUUUACCUCAAUAAACUUUUUUCAAUUUCAAUUUCAUUAUCCAAUCCUUGAAAAGUUGGCCUUGUAACCAAUCCUUUAGAAAGUGGCCUUGUAACCAAUCCUUUAGAAAGUGGCCUUGUAACCAAUCCUUGAGAGGUUGGCCUUGUAACCAAUCCUUGAGAAAGUUGCCUUGUAACCAAUCCUUUCUUAUCGUACUGCUUAGCUUUUACCGUUUUUGUCAAGGGUUAUAAUCUUUAUAUACGUUAAUAAUAUCCAAUACAAUAAACUAUGACAACAAAGCACUAUUAUCACUUUAUAUAAAAACCCUCACUGCUAUGUCAUUACCCAAGACUCACUGUUGCACAGCCACAGACGCCACAGAGGCCCUGGUGCUACUGACUCGUCUGGUACUAAUCGUGUGUACUGUGUCUGUGUUCUGUGAUGCCAAUUGCUUUAUACAGACAAAAACAAAUCUCCCGGUGAAAAAAACUGAGAGAUAAACGUACGAUAGCGCGCUCGGGGACUUGCAAAUAUCUGUUCUAAUACACAUUUGAUAAAAUCGUCUACAAAAGCAUGGAGGAUUCUAUUAAAACCGUAUAGAUUUACAUCAAACAUCUGAAAAACAUUUUUUUGACAUUUAGAUAACUAAAAUCAUCUAGAUCUAGUUUUAAAACAGUCAAAUUGGCCCCAUUGCUCCAGACCACCUGCGAGGCACGGAAGGUGGCUGUAGUGAGGAAAAACAAGGAAAAAAAGUAAAGUUUGCUGUCAGGUAGAGUCAAGAUUUGCAGAGACGAAGUUUGUCGGGACUCAACAGAGCUGGACACGGUAAACACCACCUUAGAAAUGUUUCAACCUUCAACGUUUGUAUGUGAACAAUUUUCCAUUUAGAUACGAAUGGGUUGAGAGUGACUGUCGCUCGACACUCGCUGUUCCUUUGACAGUAAUUCAAUUCAAAUGCCCCCAAGAGUUUACUGUUGCGAACGUGAGGUCAAUAACAUCGUUACAGUGGCUACAGUGGUCGACGGUAUGCACUGAACCGGUUGCUGGUAGAUGUCCUGGUAGACUUGCAUGUAGAGGCGAUCAUACCCACCAAAACCCCCACGUUUAUGGGCGGAAAAAACUUUACUCAAAGACUCAACUAAUAACGUUCGAACUUCUCCCGAACAGUACUUCGUUCACGUCCUCCGCUCGAAUCCCUUUUCUGGAAUCACUACACCCACGUAUUUCAAAUGCUAAUAAUUGCUAAUAGCCCUAAACACCUAACAUAACCUAAUCUAGGCCUAGUUAUGCGUCCAAUUCUAAUAAAUAGUAAUAUUAAUUUAUAUUUGAGAAACUCCAAUUUUCAAAUACACAGUUCAUUAAAUGAGGUGAAUGAGUCGUUGGGUUCGGCGGCCACUUGAACGAUCAGUGUACGAGAAGCGAGUUGAGAAAAACAUGUGAGCGAGUUCAUUGUGAGUACGAGUAGCGAGUAAAGGGAGUGAGUAGACAUCGGAAGAGCAC
rnacentral:lncRNA from 1 species